UGUUAUGAACAUUUAAGUAAGGAGCCUGUAGUUCAGUGGUUGUCGUUUGUUUGUGUGUUACAUAUUUGUUUUUCGUUCCUUUUUUUGUACAUUUUGUACAUAAAUAAGGCCGCUAGUUUUCUCGUUUGAAUUUUUUUACAUCGUCAUUUCGGGGCCUUUUAAAGCUGAGUAUGCGGUAUGGGCUUUGCUCGUUGUUGAAGGCCAUACGGUGACCUAUAGUCGUAAAUUUCUGUGUCAUUUUGGUCUCUUGUGGAGAGUUGUCUCAACAUGGCAAUCAUACCACAUCUUUUUUUUUGUUAUCAAUGAAUUUUGUAAAAU
rnacentral:lncRNA from 1 species